rnacentral:lncRNA from 1 species
CUUGGAAAAUUCUUUUGGAUCAUGAAGGUGGAUAUUCCAAACCUGAACCAAUGUGCGAAACCGAAGUGAAAGAUGAAAAUGCUAAACUUGUUGCAUUGCUGGAAAAAGUACUGGGCUGUGAGGAUAUCACUGCAAAAGACAUUACAGAAUGGAUGGCAAACGAUGAAGUUGAUGAAAUAACUGACAAUGAUAUUAUAGAAAUGGUGACCACAAGAAGAAGUAAUAGAAGAAGAGGAGCAGCAACCCUUAGAUGACAGGAAAAAUCUCAUCCCACAUUCGGAAGGGCUCAAAAGGAUUGAGGAAGCGAUGCCAACUGAUAUCAUCUGUUUGCAUAAGUGGAGGGACAUUGUGUCGUGGAAGAGAGCUAAAAUGCAGAAGCAGUCAU